UACAGAGACCCCGAGCAUUAUCCGGAAUUACUGGGCGUAAAGCGUGAGUCACCGGUCGUGUUAGUCUGAUGUAAAACCAUGGGGCCCAACUUCAUGUCUGCACCGGAAACGGCACGACUCGAGCGGAUGAGAGGAGAGCAGAACGUAUGGUGUAGGGGUGAAAUCCACUGAUAUCAUACGGAAUACCAAAAGCGAAGGCAGCUCUCUAGCGUCUUGCUGACGGUCAAUCACGAAAGCGUGGGGAGCAAAAGGG
rnacentral:rRNA from 1 species